AUCUGGGCGACGGAAUUCAGGAUGGCUGGCGCGGGCUUCGCGCUCGCGUGGCCGUUUGAUAUUUCCGUCGCCGUGUCGGACGUCGCGACCUGUUGGCCGUCGGUCCUUGCUCGGAGGAAGCGCGAUCGAGUUCGUUGGGCGACGCGUUCCGGCGUGUCGCGCGACGAAGACGCGACUCUCUGGCUGACGGCGGACAGUAAGCAACGGUGUCCGACGCCGUGUCUCGCACUCGGCGCCGGUGCCGGUCUGCGACGAUUUCUUCGGGCCUCUUUCCGACCCGUCUUGAAACACGGACCAAGGAGUCUAACAUGCGCGCGAGUCGCGGGGUUUCGAGCGCGCUACGGUGCGCUCGUCACUUGCGAAACCCGUACGUGGAAGGCGUAAUGAAAGUGAAUGUGGGGAAGAUGGCGUUCCGAGUCCACGUACCGUGAUCUCGAGUGUCGCGGCCGGACGUCCGCACUCCCGGGGCGUCUCGAUGGUUCGUCGCGGACGCGGACGGUCGUCUUUCGGGGCGGCCGUCGGUCUGCGCCGGACCGA
rnacentral:rRNA from 1 species